UACGAAGGGGGCUAGCGUUAUUCGGAAUUACUGGGCGUAAAGGGCGCGUAGGCUGUGCUGUAAGUCAGGCGUGAAAGGCCCGGGCUCAACCUGGGAAUGGCGCUUGAUACUGCGGCGCUGGAAGGUGGGAGAGGAAGGUGGAAUUCCUGGUGUAGCGGUGAAAUGCGCAGAUAUCAGGAGGAACACCAAUGGCGAAGGCAGUUCACUGGGACGAUACUGACGCUGAGACGCGAAAGCGUGGGGAGCAAACAGG
rnacentral:rRNA from 1 species